rnacentral:rRNA from 1 species
CAGCCGCCACGGUAAUACGAAGGGGGCUAGCGUUGUUCGGAAUUACUGGGCGUAAAGCGCACGUAGGCGGACAUUUAAGUCAGGGGUGAAAUCCCGGGGCUCAACCCCGGAACUGCCUUUGAUACUGGGUGUCUAGAGUAUGGAAGAGGUGAGUGGAAUUCCGAGUGUAGAGGUGAAAUUCGUAGAUAUUCGGAGGAACACCAGUGGCGAAGGCGGCUCACUGGUCCAUUACUGACGCUGAGGUGCGAAAGCGUGGGGAGCAAACAGGAUUAGAUACCCGCGUAGUCCCUGUCUCUUAUAC